GCAUAUCAAUAAGCGGAGGAAAAGAAACCAACAGGGAUUGCCUCAGUAACGGCGAGUGAAGCGGCAACAGCUCAAAUUUGAAAUCUGGCCUCUGGCCCGAGUUGUAAUUUGCAGAGGAUGUUUCUGGCGAGGUGCCUUCCGAGUUCCCUGGAACGGGACGCCAUAGAGGGUGAGAGCCCCGUACGGUUGGUCGCUAAGCCUCUGUGAAACUCCUUCGACGAGUCGAGUAGUUUGGGAAUGCUGCUCUAAAUGGGAGGUGUACGCCUUCUAAAGCUAAAUAUAGGCUAGAGACCGAUAGCGCACAAGUAGAGUGAUCGAAAGAUGAAAAGCACUUUGAAAAGAGGGUUAAAUAGUACGUGAAAUUGUUGAAAGGGAAGCGCUCUUGACCAGACUUGCGCCGGUUGAUCAUCCACCGUUCUCGGUGGUGCACUCUGCCGGCUCAGGCCAGCAUCAGUUCGGCUUGGGGGAUAAAGGCUUCGGGAAUGUGGCUCUCUCCGGGGAGUGUUAUAGCCCGUUGCGUAAUACCCUGGGCCGGACUGAGGUUCGCGCAUCUGCAUGGAUGCUGGCGUAAUGGUCAUCAGUGACCCGUCUUGAAACACGGACC
rnacentral:rRNA from 1 species